AUAAAGCAGGAACUAUUUAUCUGCAAGGGAAGCAGGAAGACAGAAGAAGUGUUGCGAAGGACAGGAACAGCGUGUGGAACGCGUUAGCCGUGGAUGUUAUUGCAGCUGAUCCUAAGCUCCACAGUCCUGCUUUCCCCUUCCAUGUAGCAGGCUUGAGGAUUUGCAGGGAUUCUAGGAGGAAGUGGGGAAAAAGAGGAAACAAUAACUCUUAAAUAAAACACAGGAAACAAGCCACCAGCCAAUAAAUCUACAGCCACAGCUCACAGACUGGGAAUGCCAUGCUAAUUAGCAUAACAAGUCACAAAAUCAUUAUGGCCCUAAAUUGCUUACAGAGACAAACAACAUCUAAGGCCUACAGGAUGUAGUCUGGGAUUUAGGAGGGCUGUCUAAUUGAAUAAAAAUGUUGCGGGGGCUUAGACGCAGGCAGUACGAUGGAAGAGGGAGGUGCUGUGCGACUGAUUGAUGGGGCGGUUUCCUGAGCGCUCGUCCGUCAGCCACACCCACUCCAGACAAGAGAGCCUACGGUGGCACAUCAGGAAGGUGCUGAGUGUAUUUAUGUGUUUACCUCUUAUGUUAAGCAUGUGUAUAGAC